UUCCUUCGUCUUUCUCGUUUCGCUCGGGAGAGGAGGUGGAAGCCAUGGCGGAGAGGCCUGCGGCGACGCCGUAGCCUGCUCGGCCGGUGUAGGAGGCAGAGGGGAUUCGCGAGCUGGGAAGACCGACCACGGGCAGAGCGCUGAUCUCCCAGCAGCCGGAGCGAGAGCCGCGACUCGCAUUCCUCCUCGAGCUACGCUAAAUAGAUCGCCAAUUCAUGAGCGUCAAAAGCAUGUGCGCCGCCGGGUUAUGGUGUCAAGGAAAUAAACUAGUGGGAGCCUCGGCAGCCACCUGGGCACGCCAGGUUUCGGCGCUGCCACUGUUUCCGAUGUAUGGUACUGCUUUUUAUAUUAUUGAUGGAUUUUUUGAUUGAGAUAGGUUCUGUUGCAGUCUGAGAUUGUUGUAAUUUUGACAUUUCUACUGUCCAUCAGCUAUUUGUUGCUUAGGUCAUGUUAUAUCAGACAACCUGAAGCUUUUAGAAUCACUCGUAUGUUAUCAUCCUCUAUUGCGAUAGUUGCUUUUGAGUUCAGCUGUCUACGAACCUGGAUACCAUUCAUCCUAUUCUAUUAGAGUUUAUCGUUCAUUGUAAUAUGAGUAUGCAGUGGGGAAGCUGCAAACAAAUACAUGGGUGGGGCAAAUUAAAGAACAGGAAAAAUAUCACGUCUUAGCUAGUGUGCUGCUGCUGUUAAAGUGUUAAAGGCUAAUUUGAAGAUACAGGGGAUUUUUCUUGGAAACUAUCCAAUCGCUAGCUAAUAAUCUACCAAUAUGGGAAAGAAAAAAUAUAAACAUGCUAGUGUGUUGUCUUUUCUGCAAUUGAAGGGAAAGUGGACGUGAGCUGCUCCAUUGAUGCGUGGGCUUGCUGCUGCAACACCGUCGACGCUGCCAGGCAGCUAGACACGACAGGUUGUAUUUCAGUCAUUAUCGGAAUUCAAAAUCAUCCUAUUCAGUUUUGUUAUAUUUUAAUCAUUCGAUCUUCAUUUCUUUCAGUCUCGAUCUUCAUUUAUUUCUGUCCUUCUCAUUUUUCUAUGUUUUGUUCUUAUGUUUCUUAUGGCCUUCUCAUUGUUCUAAGUCAUGUUCUUCAGUCUUUCAAUCUUCAUUUUAAGGAACUUCCUCUGUCCUUGGAAGCCUACAAGUGAAGAACUCACUAAUAUCGAGUCCACCAUGGGAGAGCUCACUAAUCUCAGUGUUCUUUAGUGUUUCAUUCUCCAGUUACCUAUUUGUUCUUUAGUAUUAGUAUUCAGCUUUCUGUUAUUCACUGUCAGUCAUCUCACUCUUGUUCGUCUUCAUUAUCCCAUUCUCUCUUUGUAUUUAUCCAUUAUUGAUUUCAGUACUUCAACAUUUUCAUGUUCUCAUUCGAUCUUGAGCCUUUCAGAUUGCUUUUUACAGUCACUCAGUAACUUGUUUCUCAGUAUAUUUCUUAAGCAUCUGAAUUCUCCAGUCUAUUUUAUUUAACUUUCAGUAUUUCACUUUUUCAUUACUUCUUUCAUUCUCUCUUUUUGAAUUCUUUGUAUUUAUCAGAAUUCUUAAGUAUCUUGGUUCAGUUCUUAUGUUUUUCACUACUUCAGUUCUUCAUUCAGUUUAGUUUUCAAAAGUUGUUGAUUUCAGAGUUCAGAUGCUCUUCAUCAGUUUCUUUCUUCGUUCAUUCGUUUAUUCUUUCUUUCUUAAUUCAUUUGUUUGUUUUCUUCAUUUCCUCAGGUGCUAGUCCUUCUUUCUUCAGUCAUUCAUUAUCCAUGGCAUUAGUCAUUCAUUUCUUUUUUUAUUAAAUUAUUCUUCAGUCCCUUAGUCUCUCUUUCUUCAUUAUUACUUCAUUCUCUCUGUCUAUCUAACUCCUUAUGGAAGCGUAUUGAUUUUUCUUUAGACCCCCAGUAAUUAGUCAUUUGUACACAGUGUAUGUUUCUUCAUUCUUAUUUUCUCUCUCUUCAGCCAUUCAAUUUUGAAUUAUUCAGUCACUUGUUUAUUCAACCUUCUUUAGUCUUCAAUUGUUAAGUUUGUUGUUCAGUCCUGAAAUCGGAAGACUUCAUAGAUUUGGUGAGCCUAUACACAUUGUAUUGUCUUUCAGUCCUUCUAUUCUUCAGUCUGUCAUAUUUCCUCGAUCAUCGGUUACUAUCUCCAGUUUGUCCAUCAGUAUCUAUUAUGUCCUCUUUCUUUUGGUCCUAUGUUCAGCCAUCCCUCCCUGCUUGGUGCCCUACUUAUGUCCUUUGUGUUCCUAUGGGUUUACAUGCACUUCUAGUAUGGGAACCAUCAGCAAGUCCAUCAAAUUUUGUUGCCCUUCUAGUGGAAGUUCACGGCUGAGCCUGAUUCGCUAGGAAGUGGCUCCACCACUGGUGGCAAUGAAGUGUGUGGUGCAUACUAGACGAUUUCUCUCAGGAAGUUACUUAGCGGCAAACCCAUAGCAGCAACUUGGCCCGCAACGGAAAUUGCAGCAGCUCCCAAACCUGCAGCCACUACCAAACCUGGUAUGUGCAGUUAAACAAGAGUAUAGAAAAGCAGGUGUACUCCAGUCCUCAAUCCAGUUUUGCAAUCUGUCAACAAAAUUCACGUUUUCGCAUGACAUGGAGUUUCAGGUGCACACCUUGGACUGACUAGAAUCUCCAAAUUGAA